UGUAAUAAAAUAUACACCAUGGCCAUAGAUAUUCACAGAAUAUGUUCUGGUGUAUAGUGUUAAUGAGGGUCUCAGUCCUUGUUCAGCAGCCUGAUGGCCUGACUGAAGAAGCUGUCCCUCAGUCUGUUUGUGCGGCACUUGAUACUGCGGUAUCGCCUGCCUGACGGUAGAAGGGUGAACAGUUUGUGGCCGGGGUGGUUAUUGUCUGGACCAGACCACCGCGAGCAGACAGCUGGACUUCAUGUGCGCUAUUGGUGAAAUGACCACGUCCCGUCAGGAUCCUGUGGAGCUCAUGGGCCAUGACACGCCCAGGACCUACUUCAGCAUCUCAAAGAGAAUGGACCAAAUGUCAACUGGAAGUUUUUGUAUUCAUACAGUUUGAAAAGGAUUGUUUUCCUAGUAUAUUCACAAAAGCUCAGGAGUAGACAUGAACCUGUGCACAAACAUCCAUCACAUAGAGACAUGAGAACUCUCACUCACUCACUCUCACACACACACACACACACACACCCAUACACACACAUACAUUCUAUUAUGUAAAUGAAUUUGCAUUUUAAAAGCAGCUGGAAAUGUUAUUUAUGUUAUUUUAUAGAUUUUUUUUGUUCAAAAGGAACUAUGUUGCACGUAUUUAAAAAAUAUAUUUACUUGAUUUUAUAGACAUUUGUUCAUGGGACCUAAAUGUUCUGAAAAUGUUGUAUUAAUAAAUAUAAUUUACAACAGCAA